AGCGAACGCUGGCGGCAGGCCUAACACAUGCAAGUCGAACGAAGUCUUCGGACUUAGUGGCGGACGGGUGAGUAACACGUGGGGACGUGCCUUUAGGUUCGGAAUAACUCAGGGAAACUUGUGCUAAUACCGAAUGUGCCCUUCGGGGGAAAGAUUUAUCGCCUUUAGAGCGGCCCGCGUCUGAUUAGCUAGUUGGUGAGGUAAAGGCUCACCAAGGCGACGAUCAGUAGCUGGUCUGAGAGGAUGAUCAGCCACAUUGGGACUGAGACACGGCCCAAACUCCUACGGGAGGCAGCAGUGGGGAAUCUUGCGCAAUGGGCGAAAGCCUGACGCAGCCAUGCCGCGUGAAUGAUGAAGGUCUUAGGAUUGUAAAAUUCUUUCACCGGGGACGAUAAUGACGGUACCCGGAGAAGAAGCCCCGGCUAACUUCGUGCCAGCCGCCGCUGUAA
rnacentral:rRNA from 1 species